rnacentral:ncRNA from 2 species
UAGACUCCCGCGCGUGCUGGUUCACCGACGUUCGUCGGUGACGAAGAGGGAACCCGGUGUGAAUCCGGGGCUGCCCCGCAGCGGUAAGCGAGAACGACCCCGCAAGCAAACACUGGCCGAGGAGGCCGGGAAGUCGCGGGGAAGGCGAUCGGCGACAGCCGAUAUGCUCGCGAGCCCGAAGACCUGCCGGCACCCGGCGACGGAG